UUAAGCGACUAAGCGUACACGGUGGAUGCCCUGGCAGUCAGAGGCGAUGAAGGACGUGCUAAUCUGCGAUAAGCGUCGGUGAGGUGAUAUGAACCGUUAUAACCGGCGAUUUCCGAAUGGGGAAACCCAGUGUGUUUCGACACACUAUCAUUAACUGAAUCCAUAGGUUAAUGAGGCGAACCGGGGGAACUGAAACAUCUAAGUACCCCGAGGAAAAGAAAUCAACCGAGAUUCCCCCAGUAGCGGCGAGCGAACGGGGAGGAGCCCAGAGCCUGAAUCAGUGUGUGUGUUAGUGGAAGCGUCUGGAAAGGCGCGCGAUACAGGGUGACAGCCCCGUACACAAAAAUGCACAUACUGUGAGCUCGAUGAGUAGGGCGGGACACGUGGUAUCCUGUCUGAAUAUGGGGGGACCAUCCUCCAAGGCUAAAUACUCCUGACUGACCGAUAGUGAACCAGUACCGUGAGGGAAAGGCGAAAAGAACCCCGGCGAGGGGAGUGAAAAAGAACCUGAAACCGUGUACGUACAAGCAGUGGGAGCCUCUUAAUGGGGUGACUGCGUACCUUUUGUAUAAUGGGUCAGCGACUUAUAUUCUGUAGCAAGGUUAACCGAAUAGGGGAGCCGAAGGGAAACCGAGUCUUAACUGGGCGUUAAGUUGCAGGGUAUAGACCCGAAACCCGGUGAUCUAGCCAUGGGCAGGUUGAAGGUUGGGUAACACUAACUGGAGGACCGAACCGACUAAUGUUGAAAAAUUAGCGGAUGACUUGUGGCUGGGGGUGAAAGGCCAAUCAAACCGGGAGAUAGCUGGUUCUCCCCGAAAGCUAUUUAGGUAGCGCCUCGUGAAUUCAUCUCCGGGGGUAGAGCACUGUUUCGGCAAGGGGGUCAUCCCGACUUACCAACCCGAUGCAAACUGCGAAUACCGGAGAAUGUUAUCACGGGAGACACACGGCGGGUGCUAACGUCCGUCGUGAAGAGGGAAACAACCCAGACCGCCAGCUAAGGUCCCAAAGUCAUGGUUAAGUGGGAAACGAUGUGGGAAGGCCCAGACAGCCAGGAUGUUGGCUUAGAAGCAGCCAUCAUUUAAAGAAAGCGUAAUAGCUCACUGGUCGAGUCGGCCUGCGCGGAAGAUGUAACGGGGCUAAACCAUGCACCGAAGCUGCGGCAGCGACACUAUGUGUUGUUGGGUAGGGGAGCGUUCUGUAAGCCUGUGAAGGUGUACUGUGAGGUAUGCUGGAGGUAUCAGAAGUGCGAAUGUUGACAUAAGUAACGAUAAAGCGGGUGAAAAGCCCGCUCGCCGGAAGACCAAGGGUUCCUGUCCAACGUUAAUCGGGGCAGGGUGAGUCGACCCCUAAGGCGAGGCCGAAAGGCGUAGUCGAUGGGAAACAGGUUAAUAUUCCUGUACUUGGUGUUACUGCGAAGGGGGGACGGAGAAGGCUAUGUUGGCCGGGCGAUGGUUGUCCCGGUUUAAGCGUGUAGGCUGGUUUUCCAGGCAAAUCCGGAAAAUCAAGGCUGAGGCGUGAUGACGAGGCACUACGGUGCUGAAGCGACAAAUGCCCUGCUUCCAGGAAAAGCCUCUAAGCAUCAGGUAACAUCAAAUCGUACCCCAAACCGACACAGGUGGUCAGGUAGAGAAUACCAAGGCGCUUGAGAGAACUCGGGUGAAGGAACUAGGCAAAAUGGUGCCGUAACUUCGGGAGAAGGCACGCUGAUAUGUAGGUGAAGCGACUUGCUCGUGGAGCUGAAAUCAGUCGAAGAUACCAGCUGGCUGCAACUGUUUAUUAAAAACACAGCACUGUGCAAACACGAAAGUGGACGUAUACGGUGUGACGCCUGCCCGGUGCCGGAAGGUUAAUUGAUGGGGUUAGCGGUAACGCGAAGCUCUUGAUCGAAGCCCCGGUAAACGGCGGCCGUAACUAUAACGGUCCUAAGGUAGCGAAAUUCCUUGUCGGGUAAGUUCCGACCUGCACGAAUGGCGUAAUGAUGGCCAGGCUGUCUCCACCCGAGACUCAGUGAAAUUGAACUCGCUGUGAAGAUGCAGUGUACCCGCGGCAAGACGGAAAGACCCCGUGAACCUUUACUAUAGCUUGACACUGAACAUUGAGCCUUGAUGUGUAGGAUAGGUGGGAGGCUUUGAAGUGUGGACGCCAGUCUGCAUGGAGCCGACCUUGAAAUACCACCCUUUAAUGUUUGAUGUUCUAACGUGGGCCCCUUACCGGGGUUGCGGACAGUGUCUGGUGGGUAGUUUGACUGGGGCGGUCUCCUCCUAAAGAGUAACGGAGGAGCACGAAGGUUGGCUAAUCCUGGUCGGACAUCAGGAGGUUAGUGCAAUGGCAUAAGCCAGCUUGACUGCGAGCGUGACGGCGCGAGCAGGUGCGAAAGCAGGUCAUAGUGAUCCGGUGGUUCUGAAUGGAAGGGCCAUCGCUCAACGGAUAAAAGGUACUCCGGGGAUAACAGGCUGAUACCGCCCAAGAGUUCAUAUCGACGGCGGUGUUUGGCACCUCGAUGUCGGCUCAUCACAUCCUGGGGCUGAAGUAGGUCCCAAGGGUAUGGCUGUUCGCCAUUUAAAGUGGUACGCGAGCUGGGUUUAGAACGUCGUGAGACAGUUCGGUCCCUAUCUGCCGUGGGCGCUGGAGAACUGAGGGGGGCUGCUCCUAGUACGAGAGGACCGGAGUGGACGCAUCACUGGUGUUCGGGUUGUCAUGCCAAUGGCACUGCCCGGUAGCUAAAUGCGGAAGAGAUAAGUGCUGAAAGCAUCUAAGCACGAAACUUGCCCCGAGAUGAGUUCUCCCUGACUCCUUGAGAGUCCUGAAGGAACGUUGAAGACGACGACGUUGAUAGGCCGGGUGUGUAAGCGCAGCGAUGCGUUGAGCUAACCGGUACUAAUGAACCGUGAGGCUUAACCUU
rnacentral:rRNA from 2 species